rnacentral:rRNA from 1 species
AGAGUUUGAUCCUGGCUCAGGAUGAACGCUAGCGGCAGGCCUAACACAUGCAAGUCGAGGGGCAGCACGGUGUAGCAAUACACUGGUGGCGACCGGCGCACGGGUGCGUAACGCGUAUGCAACCUACCCAUAACAGGGGGAUAACACUGAGAAAUUGGUACUAAUACCCCAUAACAUCAGGACCGGCAUCGGUUUUGGUUGAAAACUCCGGUGGUUAUGGAUGGGCAUGCGUUGUAUUAGCUGGUUGGUGAGGUAACGGCUCACCAAGGCAACGAUACAUAGGGGGACUGAGAGGUUAACCCCCCACAUUGGUACUGAGACACGGACCAAACUCCUACGGGAGGCAGCAGUGAGGAAUAUUGGUCAAUGGACGCAAGUCUGAACCAGCCAUGCCGCGUGCAGGAUGACGGCUCUAUGAGUUGUAAACUGCUUUUGUACGAGGGUAAACGCAGAUACGUGUAUCUGUCUGAAAGUAUCGUACGAAUAAGGAUCGGCUAACUCCGUGCCAGCAGCCGCGGUAAUACGGAGGAUUCAAGCGUUAUCCGGAUUUAUUGGGUUUAAAGGGUGCGUAGGCGGUUUGAUAAGUUAGAGGUGAAAUUUCGGGGCUCAACCCUGAACGUGCCUCUAAUACUGUUGAGCUAGAGAGUAGUUGCGGUAGGCGGAAUGUAUGGUGUAGCGGUGAAAUGCUUAGAGAUCAUACAGAACACCGAUUGCGAAGGCAGCUUACCAAACUAUAUCUGACGUUGAGGCACGAAAGCGUGGGGAGCAAACAGGAUUAGAUACCCUGGUAGUCCACGCAGUAAACGAUGAUAACUCGUUGUCGGCGAUACACAGUCGGUGACUAAGCGAAAGCGAUAAGUUAUCCACCUGGGGAGUACGUUCGCAAGAAUGAAACUCAAAGGAAUUGACGGGGGCCCGCACAAGCGGAGGAACAUGUG